CCCCCAGUAGCUCAGCAGGAUAGAGCAUACGCCUUCUAAGCGUACGGUCGGGGGUUCGAAUCCCUCCUGGGACGCCA
rnacentral:tRNA from 1 species